rnacentral:rRNA from 1 species
GACGAACGCUGGCGGCGUGCUUAACACAUGCAAGUCGAACGGAAAGGCCCUGCUUUUGUGGGGUGCUCGAGUGGCGAACGGGUGAGUAACACGUGAGUAACCUGCCCUUGACUUUGGGAUUACUUCAGGAAACUGGGGCUAAUACCGGAUAGGAGCUCCUGCUGCAUGGUGGGGGUUGGAGAGUUUCGGCGGUUGGGGGUGGACUCGCGGCUUAUCAGCUUGUUGGUGGGGUUGUGGCUUACCAAGGCUUUGACGGGUAGCCGGCCUGAGAGGGUGACCGGCCACAUUGGGACUGAGAUACGGCCCAGACUCCUACGGGAGGCAGCGGUGGGGAUUAUUGCACAAUGGGCGGAAGCCGAAUGCAGCAACGCCGCGUGCGGGAUGACGGCCUUCGGGUUGUAAACCGCUUUCGCCUGUGACGAAGCGUGAGUGACGGUAAUGGGUAAAGAAGCACCGGCUAACUACGUG